GCCGAGGUGGUGGAAUUGGUAGACACGCUAUCUUGAGGGGGUAGUGCCUAUCUAGGCGUGCGGGUUCAAGUCCCGCUCUCGGCACCA
rnacentral:tRNA from 1 species